AUUACAGGGUUCAUUACCCAAGUUUUAGAGUUCUUCCAUUCCUUUUUUAAUUUUUGGUACUGAGGAUUGAAGCCAGGAGUGCUUAACACAGAGCCACAUCCCCAGCCCUCUUUUAUGUUUUAUUUAGAGACAGGGUCCCGCUGAGUUGCUUAGGGCCUUGCUAAAUUGCUGAGACUGGCUUUGAGCUUGUGAUCCUCCUGCCUCAGCCUCCAGGGCCGCUGGGAUUCCAGGUGUGUGUCACUGCACCGGGGAAACACAGCUGCAGAUUCCAGAUUCCUUCACUCAGCCUGCCACCACGCUGGACACAGGAGCUUCAGGGACGGGCUCCCAGGGAAUUUCUCAAGGAGCCGGGUCCUGGGUUGACUUUGGGACUCUCUCAACUGCCCAAGUAGAUCGGGAAAUUCAGCAAAGACGACAAAGGGAAGUUGUUUGCAAAAAUGGGAACUUUGGUUCGGAGUGGGCACUAGAGGGGGGAGUCUUCCUAGAAGCCGCAGGAACUUUUAGAAGCCGGUUUUCUUGAGAAGUGAUUGAGAUUUGAGCCUCUGUCAAUCACACCUGAGUCAGAAUUUUCAGUUCCAGCAUCUACAAUCCUCAUGACCUUGGACAAGUGACUUCGCCAGCCUACCGCUUAGUGUCCUCCUUUAUAAAAUGAUUA